GUAGUCUCGCACAGAUGCAUAUCAAUAAGCGGAGGAAAAGAAACUAACAAGGAUUCCCUUAGUAACGGCGAGUGAAGCGGGAAGAGCUCAAAUUUGAAAUCUUCAAGGUUUUACCUUGACGAAUUGUAGUUUAAAGAAGUGUUUUCUGUUGAAGUUUUGGUAAAAGUUCUUUGGAAUAGGACAUCAUAGAGGGUGAGAAUCCCGUAUUUGACCAUUAUUUUCAGCUGUGUGAUACACUUUCAAAGAGUCGGAUUGUUUGGGAAUGCAGUCCAAAAUGGGUGGUAAAUUUCAUCCUAAAGCUAAAUAUUGGCGAGAGACCGAUAGCGAACAAGUACCGUGAGGGAAAGAUGAAAAGAACUUUGAAAAGAGAGUUAAACAGUACGUGAAAUUGUCAAAAGGGAAGCGUUUGACACCAGUGUUGUUUUCUCGAAAAUCAAUUAAAAAGAGUUUAGAUUUUGUUGUGUAUUGACCUUAACAGCUUGCAUUUCAAUUUUCUUGCUUUUUUUAAUGCACUUUUCGUUUAACAAGUCAACAUCAGUUUCUUUUGUUGUAAAAAGGUCAUUGGAAGGCGGCUUUCCUUUCGGAGAAAGUGUUUAUAGCCUUUGACUCCUGCAAUCGGAGAGACUGAGGUCUGCAGCGUAGAUCCUUCGGGGUUAGAUACAUUUGUGCUAAGUUAUAGCUUUUUAUAGACAACUUGUUGACUAUGAUUAGUCUUGUAGCUUACUCGCUUAUGCUAUUUUACCUACGCUUAGGAUGUUGAGCGCAUGUCUCUCUCU
rnacentral:rRNA from 1 species